rnacentral:rRNA from 1 species
AUAUCAUUAAGCGGAGGAAGAGAAACCAACAGGGAUUCCCUUAGUAGCGGCGAGCGAACCGGGAAAAGCUCAAGCUCUAAAUCUGAACGGCCGAGUGCUGUUCCGAAUUGUAGUCUCGCAGGUGGACAUUGUUGGCGUUCCCCUCUGGAUCUAGAUCCCUUGGAACAGGGUGCCAUGGAGGGUGAGAGCCCCGUGUGACGGUCCAGAGCCAAAGGUGUAAAUGGGGAUGCCGGUUAAGCAUUGUUCAUUUCCGGAGUCGGACUGCUCGGGAGUGCAGUCCCAACUGGGUGGUGGACCCCACCUAAAGCUAGAACACUGACAGGAGACCGAUAGCGGACAAGUACCGUGAGGGAAAGAUGAAAAGGACCCCGGGAGGGGAGUCAAAAGUGCCUGAAAUCGUUGAGAGGGAAGCGCUCAGGGACGAGGUAUUAUUUUGUUAUUUCCAGUAAUGAAUAUAAGCAACCCUUGGCAGUUGUCCGAUGGGAUGACUGGUUUUCUGUUGACCGGGAGGUUAGGAGUGUUGUACAAGGGAGGGGGGCUUGCUCCCCUUUUGUAGUGCGAUGCCCUACAUCCUUCUUCAAUCAAAAGGAGACCGU